GCAGAAUAGAUCAGUGAAAUGUCCAACUUGAUGUUAGGUUAGAAAGAGUGUAGGCCAAUUAAUCUAUUUGUAAAUAAUGGUUAAGAAAGUCUUAUACAUGCAAAUGCUCAUGCUCAACAACUCUCUAAAAAAAUGAACUCACUGUAAAAUAUCUGAUUAUUCUAUACGAUAACUCACCAAGUUUGUAAAGAGUAAUGGUCAAAUGUUCCCCCCUUAUAUGUCUUACAAAAUCCCUAAACUUGGAUGACAGUUGUAGGGAAGGAGGCCCUGGUGGUGCAUAUACCAAAGGGAAUCAAGAGUAGUUCGUUUGAGAAGUAUUGGUUUUUUUAUUAUAUUAAAACCAUAGCACUUCCAUUUAUUAGCCGUCUUGUUGGUAAAAAAAAUGUAUAUAUUUUUUAGGAAACACUUUAGCAGGCCACCUCUAAAUUGACAUAAUAAAAAAUGCAUUGCUAGCAAUGUACACGUCAUUUUUUACCAGGGAACUCACACUUAAUCCAGCCUCUGGAUGUAGCUUUCUUUCGGCCAAUGAAAAUUGCAUGAUGUAUAAUUAUUCAAGAUAGGAAGGUAAAACCUGGUCAAAAUGAAGCUACCAUACCAACAAGUAUGUUACAGUAGCAGGCAAAUCACAAAAUGUCAUUUCAGUGUUUAGGAAGGUAUUGUGCUUGUAUAUCGUAACUAGUUUGUGAAGAUGCUGUCAAUAUGUCUCAAGUGAAUCACGACAGUCUUCAGGAGCCUAACUGGUAACUCCACCUCGGCCUCGUUGCCGCUAUAAUUGGUGUUCUUUCAAAGAACUUUCAAAGCUCCAAGAAAUCCAGGUACAACUAGAUCACAGAAAAAGAGUUAAAGUAGCUUUUUAAGCCUGGAAAGAGUGUUUUCCACUACAGAGUUUACAUUAACAGCUCAUCCAGAUCAGAACUCGCCAAGCGUAUCUGACACUAAUACCGGUACAAUUAAGAAGAAAAAUAAAAAUUAUGUUUAUGAGGCAUAGUCAUCAGAAGAAAACGGCCUAUUCUGCUCAUGACGGCGAUGAAGAUCUCAUAAUAUUUGACUAUACGGCAGAUCUUGAGAAUUCAAGCCACUUUCAAGAGUUUAACACAUGCUUUCAACAUGUUUUUGCAGUCGUAAAAUUGAAUGGAAAAACUCAAAAUACGUUUAGAGUGUACAUUUGCAAAGUCAUUCAGUAUCAAAAUAAUGCUCAUAUUGAACUUUUUACAAGAUAUAUUUGAACAGCAAUACAUUUUAACAACUGAAGAGGAAUGACAACACCAAAAACUUAUGGCACCUGCAGAUGCCACCACAUCAUUAAAACGUUUGAAAAAUAAAAUUAGUUUCCUUGCUGAUCUUAGUGAAUUUAUUAAGUUAAUAUGGCCAGACAGACUACUUUUGUAAUGUUUUCUUUUUAUUUCAACUAUAUUAUUAUUAUGUAUAAAAGUAAAUUUGACACCCAAUACAUUUUAUGUUCAUUGA